rnacentral:rRNA from 1 species
UACGUAGGGUGCGAGCGUUAUUCGGAAUUACUGGGCGUAAAGCGUGUGUAGGCGGUUCUCCAAGUCAGGCGUGAAAUCCCCGGGCUUAACCUGGGAAUUGCGCUUGAAACUAGCGGGCUUGAGUGUGGCAGAGGGGGGUGGAAUUCCACGUGUAGCAGUGAAAUGCGUAGAGAUGUGGAGGAACACCGAUGGCGAAGGCAGCCCCCUGGGUCAACACUGACGCUCAUGCACGAAAGCGUGGGGAGCAAACAGG